GUGUCCUGUGCAGGGCCAGGAGUUGGGCUGAUGAUCCUUGGGGGUCCCUUCCAGCUCAGGAUGUUCUGUGGUUCUCUAAUCCAAGCUCAUCCAGGUUUGGCACAUCCCUGGAUCCGCUGCCCCGGGCUGAGGAGCCCAGGCCGACCAGGGGGAUGGCAGCACAGCCCUGUCCUGCUGCUGAGCACCCACCAGAGCACCCCCGAGCCCCCCAGCUGCAGGCAGAGGGACAUCCUGGGUUCCUUGCUCUGUGGCCCUCUGGCUCAGCAGCAGCCAGCAGGGACCACCACCCCAGCAUGGACCAGUGUCCCCAGCAUGGACCACAGCCUGAGCCCUGCCAUGGGCCACCACCUCAGCAUGGACCAGCAUGGACCAACACCCUCAGCAUGGACCAACACGGACCAACACCCUCAGCAUGGACCAGUGUGGACCAACACAAACCACAGCUCCAGCACAUCCCAGUAUCCCCAGUAUGGACCAUCACUGCCCCCAGCGCGGACCACCAUGGCCCACCACCCCACACCCGGCCGGCAGCCCCAGCACGACCCCUUGGCCUCCAGGACAGCAGCAGGACACGGGACAGGUUUGGGCAGGUGGCCCUGAGCCCAAAUAACUCCCCUGAGGCCACACCCAGACCUGGCUGUACACCCCUCAUGGGGGCCCAGCCCCUCCUGCCCCGGGGUGUCACCACACCCUGAUUGACCAGCGGGGACACUGAGGGGGUGACAGAGGUUUGUCUGAGCUGAGCAGGGACUCGGAGCUGAUCCUGGAGGGAAUCAACCAUGCGAGGCGCAUCUGCAAAUCCUGGGGUUCACCUGGUGGUGCCCCUGCCUUGGAGUCUCCACCUUCAGCAGGUUUUGGGAUGACAGCAAGGACCAAGCCCUCCGAGGAGAAAUCCCAUGGGGUGGAGCCGGACAGCCCAGCCCAGAGGGAAGGGAUGAUCCAGGAGGAGGCUCGUGGCUUGUGCAAGGAGAGGUGAAGCUCCAGGGCAGUGCCAGGAGAGCUGGAUGAUGCAGAGGGAGGUGCACAAGGAGGAGCCAGUCCCCCAGGGAAGGACGAGGGAAAGGUGGCAAAAGUCAUAUUUCACAGUAGUCUGGGGUGGGGAAAAAAACCACUUUAUUUUCCAAAUUUGGCACGUGCUGCUGCCUCCUCCCUGCCCAUGGUGUCCCAGCAGAGUCCAGGAGUCAGCAGAGCAACUCACCACUGAUGCCCCAGCAGCUGCUGACCCCAGGAAACCUGAAUAAUACAUAGAAAGCUUCUAAAAAGCAGGAAACCCCAGGAGAUGAGCUGCCUUUUCUCUGGCAGAAACGUGGCCCAGGCACAAGAAUUUCAGCUGUCAUUAGAAAGGACUUGAGAAAGACACACACAUGGAGACACAGGGGGUAUUUCCCUCCCUUUUAAUUCUCACCCCAUGCUCCCUCGAGUCACCGACUGGCAAAAAUAAAAUAAAA